rnacentral:tRNA from 2 species
GUCGGGAUAGCUCAGCCUGGUAGAGCAGAGGACUGAAAAU